rnacentral:rRNA from 1 species
CAUGAGUUAUGUCAUGUUAUCGACAUGUGAAUUCAUAGCAUGUCAGAAGGCAGACCCGGAGAACUGAAACAUCUUAGUACCCGGAGGAAGAGAAAGAAAAAUCGAUUCCCUGAGUAGCGGCGAGCGAAACGGGAAUAGCCCAAACCAACAAGCUUGCUUGUUGGGGUUGUAGGACACUCUAUACGGAGUUACAAAAGAACAUGUUAGACGAAUCAUCUGGAAAGAUGAAUCAAAGAAGGUAAUAAUCCUGUAGUCGAAAACAUAUUCUCUCUUGAGUGGAUCCUGAGUACGACGGAGCACGUGAAAUUCCGUCGGAAUCUGGGAGGACCAUCUCCUAAGGCUAAAUACUCUCUAGUGACCGAUAGUGAACCAGUACCGUGAGGGAAAGGUGAAAAGUACCCCGGAAGGGGAGUGAAAGAGAACUUGAAACCGUGUGCUUACAAGUAGUCAGAGCCCGUUAAUGGGUGAUGGCGUGCCUUUUGUAGAAUGAACCGGCGAGUUACGAUCUGAUGCAAGGUUAAGCAGCAAAUGUGGAGCCGCAGCGAAAGCGAGUCUGAAUAGGGCGUUGAGUAUUUGGUCGUAGACCCGAAACCAGGUGAUCUACCCUUGGUCAGGUUGAAGUUCAGGUAACACUGAAUGGAGGACCGAACCGACUUACGUUGAAAAGUGAGCGGAUGAACUGAGGGUAGCGGAGAAAUUCCAAUCGAACUUGGAGAUAGCUGGUUCUCUCCGAAAUAGCUUUAGGGCUAGCCUCAAGUGAUGAUUAUUGGAGGUAGAGCACUGUUUGGACGAGGGGCCCCUCUCGGGUUACCGAAUUCAGACAAACUCCGAAUGCCAAUUAAUUUAACUUGGGAGUCAGAACAUGGGUGAUAAGGUCCGUGUUCG